AGGACGAACGCUUGCGGCGUGCCUAAGAAAUGCAAGUCGAGCGGAAGUAGCAAUACUUUAGCGGCGAACGGUCGCGUAACACGUAGCCAACCUGCCCAGAAGACCGGGACAACACUCCGAAAGGGGUGCUAAUACCGGAUGUGCCCAUUUUGCCACAUGGCUUAAUGAGUAAAUCAUUUAUGGCUUCUGGAGGGGCGUGCGGGCCUAAGUCCGAGACUUAGGAUGGUGGGUAAUGGCCUACCAUGGCGUCGACGGGUAGC
rnacentral:rRNA from 1 species